rnacentral:rRNA from 1 species
GGCACUAGAAGCCGAUGAAGGACGUUACUAACGACGAUAUGCUUUGGGUAGCUGUAAGUAAGCGUUGAUCCAGAGAUUUCCGAAUGGGGGAACCCAGCAUGAGUUAUGUCAUGUUAUCGACAUGUGAAUUCAUAGCAUGUCAGAAGGCAGACCCGGAGAACUGAAACAUCUUAGUACCCGGAGGAAGAGAAAGAAAAAUCGAUUCCCUGAGUAGCGGCGAGCGAAACGGGAAGAGCCCAAACCAACAAGCUUGCUUGUUGGGGUUGUAGGACACUCUAUACGGAGUUACAAAAGAACAUGUUAGACGAAUCAUCUGGAAAGAUGAAUCAAAGAAGGUAAUAAUCCUGUAGUCGAAAACAUAUUCUCUCUUGAGUGGAUCCUGAGUACGACGGAGCACGUGAAAUUCCGUCGGAAUCUGGGAGGACCAUCUCCUAAGGCUAAAUACUCUCUAGUGACCGAUAGUGAACCAGUACCGUGAGGGAAAGGUGAAAAGUACCCCGGAAGGGGAGUGAAAGAGAACUUGAAACCGU